GAGCCCGGAGGGGCCACCUUCCUCUUGGUGACUGGAAUCUGAAGGGUUUGGGUAGAUUUGAACUAUUACUCUUUCCUGAUCUUCAAAUGGGCCUGGGCUGUUUAAAUCUUGGUGAAAUGUCAGGCAUCUCCGGUCACUACAGGCUCCUGACCAUAAAUAAUCCCAGUUCUUGGGCAGCUGAGACAGGAGGACUCCAAGUUCAGGGGAAAGCAGGACAGUUUGGUGGAAUAGUAUCUCAAAAUAAAACAUGCCAGGCUAGGCUUGGUGACACACGACUUUGCUAUCCCAGUACUUGGAAGACACAGGCAGAGGCAAGAGGAUCUCUGUGAGUUUGAGGCUAGCCUGGUCUAUAGAGCAAGCUCCAGGCAGCCAAGACUGCAUGGUGAGACCUUGUCAAUAAAUAAACAAAAAAAACAAACAUAAGAAAUAUUGGGAGAGGAGAGAUGAUUCUACGGCUAAGAACAUGUCUUAUGUCGAACACUUUUAAUCCCAGCACUGGGGAGACAGAGGCAGGCAGAUCUCUGUGACUUUGAGGCCAGCCUGGUCUACAGAGUAAAUUCCAGGACAACCAGAGCUACAUAAUAUCGAGAACUUGUCUCAAAACAAAACAAAGAAAAAUAACACUUUGGUUUUGUUCUUACAAAGGACCUGGGUCCAGUUCCCAGCACCCACAUUGUGGCUUACAACUACCCAUAGCUCCAGUGCCAGGGUACCCA
rnacentral:lncRNA from 1 species